CCUGUCACGCCCAUGGCCCCGCCCCGCACGCCGUUUCCCCUCCCCCGGCCUUAGCCCAGCCCGGGCCCCGCCUCCGACCACGCCCCAUCCUCUCUUUUGCUCCCGCACCGCCCACUUCUCGCGUUGUCGCGAAAGCCCGGAAAGGUGGACUUUCACCGCACGGCCCUGGCGGCUGCUGCGGCCGUCCGCCCUCCGCCUCCGGGUCCGGGUCUUUCGGGGAGAGCGCCUGUAGGCAGCUCCUAGGUCCUUUCCUCCUCUGCGUGCCGGCAAACGAAACGGAGCGGCGCCCUCGACGCCGGCGCCGGGCUGGGCCCGCAGAGACGGUCGGGACGGGACUGAGCAUGCUCGGGCGGCGCAGGUGGCGUCCCGAGGUGGAGGUGGCCGCGGUCCCACCGCGACGCCGCAGGCGAUGCAGAGCCUCCAGAAACCCAAGGAGACAUUAAAGAAUGCUGUAAUUCACAAAAUGAACAGCUGCACCAAGAAACAGACGUGAUAGUCCCGUUAGUCUGAACUGAGUAUGGUGCUCACCUGGCCCAUCUGUUCUGGAGACGCCGAGGAGAAGGACGCUCUGAAGUAAGGGCUGGGUGCCGAGCUGUCGGUGUAGAAGACGUUCCCAGGAGCUAUUAGUAUCUGAGAGUUUACGGAAAAUCAGUUACCAUUAAAGGGAAACUAAAAGAAAAUAUAGCCACAUGGAACCCGUGUGUGGAAGACUGAAGAACAGCACGAUGGAAGGAACCAGGCUCUCAGUCGUGCUUGGAGCAGAGGCACCUGUAGGUCACACCUUUGAAAAUUUUAUCUCGGGCACCGCUUCCGGAUCACCCUGGACAUCAUCCCAGUCAGCCGCCACCAAGGGCUCUAGCCGGUGCCCCGGAGGAAACCCACACCCCAUCCCGGGGUGUUGCAGGAGCCCGGAGCUAGGACAGAUCCAAGAAGACCGUCCGUCCUGCUCACUCCGUUCGCCCAAGGCCGUGGCCCACAGCGCUGGCUGCUGUUUUAGAAGUAAGUAGCUUCGGGAAGGGGCAGCACUACCAGAGGCGCGAGGUACUAACCCCGUGGUAAAACUGAAACACUGAAGACUGAAGUGGUAGCAAAUUCACAGUCAUUUAUUUAACUUCAGUGAGAAGGCGGAUCACUGACGCAGAGCCAGGCUGGAAUCUGGUCAGCGCCGUAACCUGCAGCUGCCCUUCUAACAGUGCCGGGCGCUCCUGUCAGCACUCACCUUGGUGAACUGGAGAAAGUAGUAAGGAUCAUCUUCUACUAUGAGGAAAUCGUAUUUUCUUGCGACCUGAAGAAAAGUUAAAACAACUGGACCCGUUCCAGAGAGGCUGCUUCUGUCGCCUUGGGUGGAGAGGACAAUGGUGUGGACCAGGGCUGCGGCCGCCCCACAGUGGGCGUGAGAAACCGAGACCCUGGGGUCGUUGGCUACAUGGCAUAGCUGAGCGUCUUCUGACUGAAUUAUCUUCAUAAUAUAAGUGAUUCAUAAACUAGAUGGUUAGUAAUGAAUUUUUUUAAAUAAAGGAUAUGAAACAUCUAUUACACUAAUACAUAAAGUAGUUUUAAGGAGACGUGAUAUCCAAAGUAUGUAACCAGUAGUAUAGCAUGGGUACAUCAGAGAGAGCGGCGGGCUGGAACAGCGCCCGGGGGCCCCUGCCCCACCAGCGGUGACUGUACCCUGGGAGGCUCAGGGUGGUGUCAGGGGAGAGGCCAGGUGAGCCAGGGCAGUGACGGGGCCCCAGGGGGGACUGGGGCAGCAGUUCACCAAGGGGUAAGGAAGAAUUUCCAUAUUUGACCAAUCGCUAAGGCUGAAAUGGCCAAGUAGCGGCCUUGCUUAUAGACAUAAUUUUGUAAAAUCUUGUGGACUCUUAUUCUUGGAUCAACACAAAGAAAAAAAUUAGAAGUUAAAAAAUAACAGUAAUUAAGUGAUGUUCUCAGAAAAAAAAGUUUUCAAAGGAUAAGCCACACUCUUUUUAGCACUCGAAUACAGAGUUAUGUACUAAGCAGAAAUAAUCCAGACAAACUUAAGACAAACUUAACGGUACUUAGUGAGAAAAACACAUCUACCAUGAAAUACAAAUUAAUAUUGGGCCAUGAAACACACAUUACUGAUGAGCAUGUUUCCUCAGAGCUUGGCACAGUUUCUGUUUGGGUAUGUGAAAACAUUUGUGGGUUUUACAUAUAUAGCCAUAUGUAAGGACUUAAAAAAAAUAACUGAUAAUUAGAAUCCAUUAACCAAGUAUUUGUUGAUGAGACUUCUUUCUGUAUUGAACGGUUUGGUUCCCUUGUCAAAGUCAAUUGACCACAGAUGUAUGGGUUUAUUUCUGGACUUUGAAUGCUAUUCUACAUUCUAUAUCUGUCCUUAUGCCAAUACCACACUGUUUUGAUUACUGUAGCUUUGAAGUUCGUUGUGAACUUGGGAAGGGGGAGUCCUCCAACUUUGUUCUUUUUCAAGAUUAUGUUGGCUGUUUGGGCCCCUUGCAAUCCCUUAUAAAUUUGAAGAUUGGCGGCCAGUUUUAAGGAAAGGUAUGUUUUCUCAAUACUUAUAAGGAGUGAUAAAAUUUAUAUUAAAAUGAACAAUCUGAAAAGGAAAUUAAGAAAAUAAUUCCAUUUAUAAUAGCAACCAAAAGAAUAAAAUAUCUGGGGGAAUAAAGCUAAUAAAAGAGGUGAAAGACUUAGACAUUAAAUACUACAAACCAUUGCUGAAAAAAAAUUAAAGAAGACCCAAAUAAAUGGAAAAGACAUCACCUAUUCAUCAUUUAGAAGCCUGAUACUGUUCAGCUGUCAACACUACAAAAGCAAUCUACAUAUUUUACACAAUCCCUAUCAAAAUUCCAGUAGCUGUUUUUGCAGAAAUAGAAAAGCCAAUCUUCAAAUUUAUAAUUGCUUUUUAUAUUGACUUUUAAAAAGAUAACAUUAAAUUUGGGAAAAAAAAAAAAAAAGAUAAUCCCUGAAGUUGGAAUCAAUAAAGCAUAAAGGUCACUUCACUUAAUUUCCCUACUCUAAGCUAGAACCACUUUUCCAACAUCUCUGUUAGAAGUCAAUCAGGAGUAAGUUCACCUCCUUAAUGACAGGCAGUGAGGGACAAACUCCCACCUCCUUAGGGAGUCAGGUAAGGCUCACAGUUAGAAAGUUCUUACAUUGAGCUGAAAUUGUUUGCCUGUAGUUUCCGCCCUUUGGUUCCAGUUCUGUCAGCCUAAGGACAUGCACAAAUAAAUCCAUGGCCAACUUUUAUAUAUCCGGGGACAAUCGUCAUGUCUCUGUGUAACCUUCCCUUAUUGGGGAAAACAGUCGUAGUUCCUAUACUGGUUUAUCAUAUGGCAUGGUUUCCAAUCCCCUAGUCACUUGGAUUAUUCUUGUCUGAUUGUACUCCAGUUUGUGUAUGUAUCUAUCCUAAAUUACUGUGCUUCAGACACACCCAAUUCUCUCAGCAGUGUGUUCUGACUGGCGCACAGCAGAGCCAGAUAUCAGCUUCCUCAGUCUGGAGGCUAUGGUCCCAUUAAUUUAACACUGGAGAGGAAAGUCCUAAUUAUAUCCUAUCAGUUUACAGCUAUAUUAAGUUGACACAUAACACGAUUAUAUUUAGGCAUAUGGUAAUAAAGAUGGUAAUGAAAAAAUAAGUUUUUGUAAAUAAAGUCUCAUUUUAAGUGAAAUAUUAAGAACACAGGACAUAAUUUUGCACAAUCUCAUUUUAUCACCUAUACAUUUAGAUUUUGUAAAAUGAAAUGUAUAAAGAGGGUAUAUUUAAUAUAUAUUGCAUAUAUCAUUUAAGAUUCUCCUGUUUACAGAUGAAAGAUGCCAUUUUAUUUUUCAGUGGACAGGUAAUUCUAAAAGGUACAAUGCUUUCUUCUUAUUUAUUUAGAGUUGCCUUUUCUAAAAAUGUGUACUCACAAUUUGAAG